CUAUCUUCCUCUCUAACGUUUCAUUGUCGCCAAAAAGAAACACCGUGAGUGAGACACGAAAAAUCACAAGGGGAGCGGACGACUGAUACGCGACUCCCGAUUUGAAGGAAGAUGCAGAGCAAAGGGAAAGCGAAGUAUUUUAAGAUCUUGUUGCAAGGCAAGCACAAGAACUCAGCAAGCAGGCCGAGGAACACCUCGGGGUGUGGGUGGAACACAAGGAGUGGAACGGGUGGAAAAUGGAGAAUUCAGAGUAGAGUCACAAGAACAUGGAAAAAGCUGCACACAGCUCUGGAUGGGAAUCAAACAUACAACCUCCCAGUUGUGAGGCAGUA